AUUGCUGGAAAAGUUAACAUAGCAAUCUGCAAUCAGCUGCUUUAUAUCCCAGUGAGAAUGAAGAAAUCAAGAAUGGAAUUAAUAAGGGCAGAGGCCGGGGAGUAGCGAGGAAGAUGACUAGAAGGGAGAGAAGGACAUUAAGCUACAGGAAGUUUCUAUAAGAGGACUUCUCAGAAAGUCACGGAAAAUGCAUAUUGGCUCAAAUAGUCUAAAAAAGCAUAGUGUCUUCUUAUAAUCUGUAGGCAGUCCAGAAGAGGACACUUAACCAGAAUUAUCACCAUCUGUCCAACUGAUAGGCCCAUCGUGAGCUUGUUAUUACGUUGCAAACAAGGUGAAGAGGAGGAUGCAAUGAGUCAAGCUGACAGUUUUGGAAAAGAUCAGUUCUGUCCUGCCUUGCAGCAAUCGCCAUAAGCACAGGUUUCCAUCUUAUUGUUAACGUCCUACUAGCAUUUAAUGAUCACCUGCUACAAAACUCAUCCAGGACUUGGAUAAUGAUGAAUAACUAGAAAGUAUGCCUAAAUGUUUCCUAAAUAUCUGGGCUGCUACACAACAAAGCUAUUUCAUUACCUCUGAAAGUAGAAA
rnacentral:lncRNA from 1 species